rnacentral:rRNA from 1 species
ACUCAAAUGAAUUGACGGGGGCCCGCACAAGCAGUGGAGCAUGUGGUUUAAUUCGAUGCAACGCGAAGAACCUUACCCAGAUUUGAAAUACAGAGGACAGUCACAGAAAUGUGAUCUCCCGCAAGGGUCUUUGAACAGGUGCUGCAUGGCUGUCGUCAGCUCGUGCCGUGAGGUGUUGGGUUAAGUCCCGCAACGAGCGCAACCCUUAUCAUUAGUUGCCAACACGUAAAGGUGGGAACUCUAGUGAGACUGCCUGGGUUAACCAGGAGGAAGGUGAGGAUGACGUCAAGUCCGCAUGGCCUUUAUAUCUGGGGCUACACACGUGCUACAAUGGUCGGUACAGAAGGCAGCAAGACCGCAAGGUGGAGCAAAUCCGUAAAGCCGAUCCCAGUUCGGAUUGUAGUCUGCAACUCGACUACAUGAAGUUGGAAUUGCUAGUAAUGACGUGUCAGCAACAACGUCGUGAAUACGUUCCCGGGCCUUGUACACACCGCCCGU